rnacentral:rRNA from 1 species
AUUGAACGCUGGCGGCAGGCCUAACACAUGCAAGUCGAACGAGUGGCGGACGGGUGAGUAAUGUCUGGGAAACUGCCUGAUGGAGGGGGAUAAUUACUGGAAACGGUAGAUAAUACCGCAUACCAUCGGAUGUGCCCAGAUGGGAUUAGCUAGUAGGUGGGGUAAAGGCUCACCUAGGCGACGAUCCCUAGCUGGUCUGAGAGGGUGAACAGCCACACUGGAACUGGGACACGGUCCGGACUCCUACGGGGGGCGGCAGUGGGGAAUAUUGCACAAUGGGCGCAAGCCGGCUGCGGCCAUGCCGCGUGUAUGAAGAAGGCCUUCGGGUUGUAAAGUACUUUCAGCGGGGAGGCGUUACCCGCAGAGAAAGCACCGGCUAACUCCGUGCCAGCAGCCGCGGUAAUUC